rnacentral:rRNA from 1 species
AUUGAACGCUGGCGGCAGGCCUAACACAUGCAAGUCGAACGGAGUGGCGGACGGGUGAGUAAUGUCUGGGAAACUGCCUGGUAGUGGGGGAUAACGUCCGGAAACGGGCGCUAAUACCGCAUACUAUCAGAUGAGCCUAGGUCGGAUUAGCUAGUUGGUGGGGUAAAGGCCUACCAAGGCGACGAUCAGUAGCGGGUCUGAGAGGACGAUCCGCCACACUGGGACUGAGACACGGCCCAGACUCCUACGGGAGGCAGCAGUGGGGAAUUUUGGACAAUGGGGGCAACCCUGAUCCAGCCAUGCCGCGUGUAUGAAGAAGGCCUUCGGGUUGUAAAGUACUUUUGUUAGGGAAGCGGUACCUAAAGAAUAAGCACCGGCUAACUACGUGCCAGCAGCCGCGGUAAUAC